GGUUCGAUGGUGUAGUUGGUUAUCACUUCUGUCUAACAUGAAGCCCGUCUCUGGUCACGUGAUUAAGCGCGGUAACGUGGAACACAGGCGGUCCUCAGUUCGAACCUGGGUCGAAUCA